rnacentral:lncRNA from 1 species
CAGAGUUUGGGGGAGGGCUGUUCUAUGGCAGCCAGGGGUUCUGGAUCACAAGGAUGGGGAGUGUGUCAAGUACUGGAGAAUGAGUCUAGACAGCACUGUGUUAGGUCUGCUGCUGAAGUCUAUUUGCUCCUAGAAUUGGGACCACACAGAACAGAGGAACCAUUGACAAGAAGCAUGGCUGGAGUACGAGGGUUCACAAAGGCUUGGAAACCACUGCUACCCGUUUUGAAAGAAGUACAAAUUGACCACCAACCAAACUCAUGUAAGUAAACAACUGUGUUCUCUUUGUUAAGUGGAUAUCCUUUGAACC